GGGAGGUACCAGUGGCUAAGAAGCAGUGUUGCACAAAAUGAUUUAACUGAGGAGCUUUUGCUAGCCAGCUGGAGAGUAUAUUGUAUUUGCAAACUGCAAUAAAGGAGAAUUGAAUUUUAAUCUUCCUGCUAGAGAAAUAUAAAGGUUUAUAAUUGACUCUGGAUGUGUAAUAUUGAAGAGAGCCAUAUAGUGCAGAGUGCUUGUCCGUGAGAAAAAUAAACCAGUUCAGUUGUUUUCUCUGAGGUCAAGAAGUAGGAGAAAUCCUCCUGUCACACAAAUCCAGGCCAAGACAGGGCACACUCAGACCUGUGGAAAAUUGUGAUCAUCCACAUGCAGCACUUCCCUGAAGUCAGUGUCACAUCUCCAAAUUUAUCUCUUGGAAAUUACAUUCAGAAACAAUAAGAUUUUCUACUGAAAACAAAAGCUUGUUGAGACAACAGCAUAACUCCUGGAGGUCCAAAGGAACUGAUCCUGCAGGUCUCCUUGUCCACACCAGUGAGGGCCUUGGAGUCUGUCCAGUGCUUCCAUGAGCUCCAGUUCCAUCCUGCUGCUGCUCACAGACAGAGUUUGGAGGCAUUUGGGACCACUGGACAAGCAGAGCAACCAGAAUUUAGUUUCUUUCUGAUGGUCAGAAGAGAUAAAGAUGCUCAAGACUCUCUACUGAUGUGGAACUCCAUUUCUGUGUCUCCACUCCAACAGAUCUCCUUAAAUCAUUAUAUCCUGAUUAAAAUGUACCAGCAACACCUCCUUGCAGAAGAAAAAGCUUUUAGCUCAAGAGGAGAUAUAUGGCAUUUGGGGGAAAAAAGGCUUGACUUGCAUAGGUCUGAUCUCAGUUGCUGAUUCAGUGCUGUUCCUGGGCUGUAUCUUUUUGCUCAUGUCUUGGGCUUAUGUAAGUAGAUCAGUACUCUCUAUACCAUUUUGGUUUUUUGCCCAUUUGCUUUACAGAAUGGUUUCAGGGCUGUAAUUAGGAAAGCAGUGUGAAAAGUGUAUUCCCAGACGCCUUGUGGUCAGUUCUGCCUGAGGUAACCACCAACAGCCUCUCUCAGCUUAAUGAUUCUGCUGUUGGCAGUGCUUCUGCCAGAGAGUGAGGUUAAUGUCAGGAAAUAAAAUGAAAUCUGCUUAGUAAACACUGCAAAGAAAACAGGUUAUGUGUUAAUGUGCUUGCAGCAGCUAUUCCUCUCUGAGGCUUUACUUUCAAAUUUUGUUGUUUAAAUUUUGGUUGUUCAUACAUGGUUAAAUUUCUACAAACUUUGAAGAAGUUCAAAAUGAUAGAGAUGAAAUUAAGAGAUAAAAGAUUUCUGUCAG